CUUGGUCAUUUAGAGGAAGUAAAAGUCGUAACAAGGUCUCCGUAGGUGAACCUGCGGAGGGAUCAUUAACAAAUCAAACACACAUACCUGUGUCAAUGUCUGUGCCGAGCGGGGGGUGGCGCAUGGUUGCGCGUGGUACCGUCACUACUACUGGGAAUGGGGAAGCACCUGGUGGUUGUGGGUGCGAUGCGUGGCCAGGCGCUGCCUGAUGGGGAGUGGUGCCUAUAUGUAUGUAUGGGUACGCCUGCCGGCCAACAACUACAAACCAUGUCAGAGUUAUACACAUAUAAUGUAAUAACAACUUUUAACAAUGGAUCUCUUGGCUCUUGCAACGAUGAAGAACGCAGCAAAAUGCGAUAUGUCGUGUGAUCUGCAGGCUUCGUGAAUCAUUAAAUCUUUGAACGCAACUUGCACCAUGUGUCUACGCACAUGGUAUACUUGUUUGAGUAUCACAUUCAUCUAUCACACUGGGUAUGUGUGGACUUGAGGUGUGUGUGCGUGCUUGCUCAUUAGCAGUAAUGGGUAACAACACUCCCUUUAAAUGUAGGUCUGUCGGGACAUGUCACGUCUGUGCAUGCCACUAUCGGGAUAACAUCCAUCGAUGGGGUACGCAUGGCCAUAUGUGUGUGUUUCAUGGACAAGGACGUCGAGGGCAUUGCCUGUAUGUGUGGACAUACGGAGGAUGCCAUUGACAUGUGUCUUGUGUCGUCGUCGUCGUCGCCGGUAAGUGUAUGUGUGUGUGUCAACACGCGCACACUUCUAGCGUACGCAUGUGAUGCGCAGGAUACCUACAUGGAUCUCAAAUCAAGUAAGAAUACCCGCUGAACUUAAGCAUAUCAAUAAGCGGAGGA
rnacentral:rRNA from 1 species